UUUUGACUUAGCAAAAUAAAACCACACGAUUUCUUCUGGAAAAGGCAACCGGUCACAAUGGCAGGAGUGUCUCCGGUUUCUGGUGGAGAAGCCCCUGAAAUACCCAAGUGAAACUUAGGAAGACUGAGGACAUCAUAGAGGGAUACAGCAGCCCCAAGAAAGAACCUGAUGUUUGUAGCCAUGAAGGAAUGCACAGAGCUGGUUUGGGAGUGAGAUAAUUAGAACAUAGCCAACCUUUGCUGUUUAUCAUCCGUGGGACUACAAAUUCCACAACUCCUAUGCCUUGGUCUCCACAUCUGUGAAGCCAGGAUGGCUGCUGAGGAAUGCCUCUAGACUAGGCCUACUAGCUCAAGCAUGGCGCUGUGCUCCCCAUCAGCCUGUAAGUCCUGACUUUUGAGCAAAUCCCCACCAGGAAUACAUGUAGCCCACGGACAAACCAGAUGGCUGUCCUUGGUCCUGUGCACAGCACAUGUCAGUGAAGAAAAAUUUGUCCCCCUGCUCCAAGCAUCAAGAAUGGCCAGCUGCCCUCACCUCAGCACCGCCACUCACAAUCAAGACCCCCAGGCUCCAAGGUUGGAAGAAGCUCCGCCCCCAGGCUCACCAUCUCUGCUCCCCUGCAGCAACCUUCUGAGAUCAAAGCACCACAAAGCCCUUUGCAACGUGAGAAAUGUAGCUCUAGGAAUUUAAGGAUUUACCCAUCAUCCCUCAGCCGGGAGGAGGUACAGGCAGCUUUGUGCCGGAGAAAGGCAUCUAAGAUCCAAGGCUGUCACAGCCAGCGAGUGAGCCCUGGAUAGACGGGCAGGUGGCCUGACAUUUCCACAGGCAGAGGAAGCAGCAGGAAACCUUAGAGGACCACAGAGGACGUGCCUCGGGGAAGAGGCGUGUUGCAUAAACAAAGUCCCCUCUAACUGAAGAGAGGAAAGUGACCUUCAGUGAAGCCCCACAUGUGUCAUAUUACUGAGCUCGUAAAAAUGGGCAAAUAUCAGUGAUUCUAUCACCUGUAUAUCCAGUGUGUAUUAACAAAUGAUGGUGACUAAUCUGAGGUUCAGACACUAAUCUUUCUUCAAGAAGACCUCUACUCAAUUUGAUUCUAUUAUGAAAUGUACCUGCUUGAGCACUUGCCUUCUGGGUUGUUCUGGGAGCUAAGGAGAUGACAAGGCCCAUCCUGAUGCUGAGACUCCAAUGGACACAGGGACCCAGGUCACCAGAGUCUGGAAGAUGAACAAAGGCAGUUCUGGAAACCUGCAAACACCAUCGCCCAAGGGCCCACACUCUGCACUUGCUUCUUGUCUUUGGGGUUCUCCUGGGAAGCCAGAUCUUUGGCAAGCUGGCAACUGGAGAGAGGAAGCUAAGGGUCAUUCCCGCACACUCUCCCCUCACCCCUCCCCCCAGCCCCAGCUAAGAGCUUCAGUGUAGCCAGCUUCUGUGAAGGAUGUUGGCCAAUGCUCUAGUCUCCCUGUUUAUGUGCUGCUGAAGUGUUUUGGUAUAAGCACAUCCACCUUUAAAAAGCAAAUUAAGGAAUGAUGAUGGCUGUCAAAACAUAGCAAUUCCUAGAAAAACUAUAUGCCUCCUCCACUUCCAAAGAUCUGGGUGCCCAUUCCAGAGUGUGAGAGUAGGUCAGAGGACAACCUUGGUUAUACACAGACACUAUGGCGUCCUUGGGUUCUGGAUCCAAAGUCGGGUCCUCGUGCUUGACGUGAGUGCUCUACCCACUGGGCUAUCUAUCUCCCAACCCCAACACAGAAUAACCCUUAGUGAAAGGACCAGGCCCAGAAAGGCUAAGGAGAGUAACUCAGACCACCACAGUGUCAAGGGGAGAGAGUAGCAUGUCCCUAAAGUUGUGUGGUCUGACUUCUCGGCCAACCUUGGAGAGAGGUAACCUGGUAAAGGGGUCAUCCUCCCCUCCAGACAUAAGAACCAGCCACCAGAUGCAGCUUGCAUGGUGAAACACUGACCUGAGAACACUUGGAGGUGUCCCUUUAUAGCAGUCCUCCAGUCAGGAAAAAAGACAUAGAGGUAGGCCCUCAGCUAUCUCUGUGCUACAGUCCAGAGGAUCCAGCCCCAGGGGGUGAAAUACACCCAGAGCCACAAAUACAGAAAAGGCCACAUAGUCACAGCCAUGUGAUUAACCAACCAUCAUCAUGACAACUCGACUCCAGUCCAACUCCCUCCAGUUAGGACUGAUGCAUACUGGGUUGAGAAUCCUGGGGGUGGAAAGGAGUGCAUUAUGGGAGAAGAGUGGCAUCCCUGGCCUCUACCACUAGAUGUCAUUAGCACCUUGCUCCAUGCCAACGAACCAAAAGUGCCACCACACUUGGCCAAGAACUUCCUGGCAAUAGUGACAUUCCCUGAGAAGAAUAUUUGUCACUUUGGGAGCUACCAGUUUGAGAGAGAUUCGGGGGACAGAGCUGGUAACACACCCCCAAGACAAAACCACCCCAAUGCAGGAUGCAAGGAACUCUAACAACCUCCGUCCCUCAGCAUAUGAACCUUGGGGGAAAUGAAGCAAGAUGGUGGGGAGCUGUGGACUGAAAGAGGAGUGAGAGAAACUCCAGUGGGAGCAAGCUAGUUCUCAGUCUCCAUAAGAGCAGCGAGCUGUCUUAUCACCAAGCUGACCUGUCAGCCCCUCGGUCAUAGGUUAAUGGUCCCUUUACAGUGCCUACCGAAGUGUUGGUAGACUCACGAGAGUCAUGUGACACCUCCAACUUGUUUCAAAACUGUGAGGUGAGUCAGAAUGUGUGGGCUAUGAAAUAGUUGGUCGUAGAGGCUAAUGUUUCAGCUAUGUGGUGGGUAUGGACAGGUUCCUCAUCCUGUGAUCCUCUUUUGUACACAUUGAGAAUGUCCUGUACAAAACAAACGUUAAAUCAGGACUUUCAGCAGGAAGAACCAUGUGGGCCUCAGGACGAAGGAGAAUGGGGUCCUGCACAUUGCUUUUACCAGCUGUUUAACAGACAGUAGGCCUUGCAGUGUGGGCUCUGUGAGAGCCUCACAGAAUAUGCUAGAACACACCUGUGAGGCCAGGCCUUAGAAAGCUGAGACAGGGGGAUUGCCAUCCUGGAACCAUACUGACUGCCAAGCCAGGCCGGUAUACAGGGUGAGUUCCUGAAAAAAAAAAAAUGUAAUUAUAAUUAAUUUUUUCUCUAGCAUCUCCUAGGAACAGCUUGGCCAUGCACAGCAGAGGGUGGGCAUAUGGCUCGGCUCAGGAUCCAGCACAGAGAGCCUGAGAAAGGCCGGGAAGUAGUUGACAGGAUAGCUCAGUGGAUGAGGGUGUCUGCCACCAAGGCUGACGAAGUGAGCUCAGCUGUGGGGACCCCAUGGUACAGAGAAAGAAGCCUGGAAAUCUCUGCCUUCUACUGGCAAGCCAUGGCCUACAUGUUUAUACACAUACACACAAUAAAUAUUCUAAAAGGAA